GGAUAACUUACCCUUAGGACUGGGAUAACUCUGGGAAACUGGGGAUAAUACUGGAUAUUAGGCUAUGCCUGGAAUGGUUUGCCCUUGAAAUGUUUUUUUUCGCCUAAGGAUAGGUCUGCGGCUGAUUAGGUCGUUGGUGGGGUAAUGGCCCACCAAGCCGAUGAUCGGUACGGGUUGUGAGAGCAAGGGCCCGGAGAUGGAACCUGAGACAAGGUUCCAGACCCUACGGGGUGCAGCAGGCGCGAAACCUCCGCAAUGUACGAAAGUGCGACGGGGGGAUCCCAAGUGUUAUGCUUUUUUGUAUGACUUUUCAUUAGUGUAAAAAGCUUUUAGAAUAAGAGCUGGGCAAGACCGGUGCCAGCCGCCGCGGUAACACCGGCAGCUCGAGUGGUAGCUGUUUUUAUUGGGCCUAAAGCGUUCGUAGCCGGUUUGAUAAGUCUUUGGUGAAAGCUUGUAGCUUAACUAUAAGAAUUGCUGGAGAUACUAUUAGACUUGAAGUCGGGAGGGGUUAGAGGUACUACCGGGGUAGGGGUGAAAUCCUAUAAUCCUGGGAGGACCACCUGUGGCGAAGGCGUCUAACUGGAACGAUCUUGACGGUGAGUAACGAAAGCCAGGGGCGCGAACCGGAUUAGAUACCCGGGUAGUCCUGGCCGUAAACGAUGUGGACUUGGUGUUGGAAUGGCUUUGAGUUGUUCCGGUGCCGAAGGGAAGCUGUUAAGUCCACCGCCUGGGAAGUACGGUCGCAAGACUGAAACUUAA
rnacentral:rRNA from 1 species